UUCUUAAGUUGUUGAAGCUCUUCUGUGUCCCCAUUAUCAGGGGACAUAGAUCUACGUUGGGUUGGCUUAGUACAUCUCUUUGCUGCACUUGAAUUUGGUCAUCUCUACCAAGACUUUUACACUGUAGUCUUUGUUUGGUUUGAUACUCGACAUCUACUUUGAUUGUGUUUUUGUAUCAGGAAUGGGAGUAAGCAUACAAGAUUCUAAGUCUUUUGCACUCCUGAUAAUAAGUAAUUCUUCCGUGUUUGACACUAAACUAUUUUUUGUUACGUUGUUUUGGAACAGUGAUUGCACUGUUUGACACUUCAUUAAGUUGUUCUAGAAUAGUUGUUCUGUAGUGCGUAUGGUGAUAUAUUAUACUAACAAUUAAAAUCUUAUCUCCUUAAUGGAUAUCCCUCACUUUCUUUGUUAUAAUUUUUUAACUUCUAAUAUUUAAGAAUCUUCUCCGAAAUAUGGUAUCUGACACAUGGAAGAAGUGUAAAUAAUUGUCUUUUCACACAGACACCAAUCUGUAGUUGGUUGUGUCAUAUAUAUUCUCGAUGUUACCCUUUUAUUUUGUGGAUCUCUACUCUGACUAUGAAUAGAACAGUGAACACGUUUUUAGUUUUUUUGCAGAGUUUGUCAAAUUAACAACAUUCGUUGGGGCCUAUAAAAAAACAUUCAUUGGGGUUGCAGGAGAGAAUGUACUUUUGAUAUCUUGAUGCUAAAGUUUGUUUGUUCUUGCUCUUGUGUUCUAUUUUCCCUGUUUUUUUUUAUUUCUUCUUUGUUGGCUAGAUUUUUUUAUUUCUUGUUUCUGUUGCUUCCUUAAAUUCCAUCCAAGUGUUACAGGAUUGCGAAAGUUAUGGAGAACAACUCCAGAUAAAUCCAAUUUUUCCAUCAUUCAUUCUUUUGUUGUUUCAUUUCUUUUCUUUGAUUUCAAGACAUUCCAAAUGAAAUGUUAAGAUUUCUUUUCUGCAGUGCAGUUUUUCGGAUUAAUAACCUUCAUUGCAAUGGAGCCUCGACUUUUUAAUUUGAGCGUAUUUUGUAGGUUCUUUCUGUAUGAUAUUCUUCUGUAGAAAAAAAUAUUUCUUGAUUUGUUAUUUACUAUUUUUAAGUUGCAGGAGAAGAUAUGAUUUAUGAUUUUGUGACUUUUUAUUCUCUUUGGUGUUGCAGGAGAGGAUGUGCUUUUGAUUUCUUGAUUCUAAGUGUGGUUGUCCAACUAAUAACCUUCUUCAUAGCAUGGAGCUUGGCGUUUUGAUUUCUGAUUUGGUGAUCUUUAUUGAAUUCUUUUUAUUUUUAAUAUUUCUUUAUCGAUUCUUAAAGCAUAUCUUCCUUGAUUUGGUGCUUACACUCUGGUGCUGCAGGAUACACUCAAUUAUUCUAGUUCUAUUUUCCUCUUGUUUGAUCAUCAUUCAUGGCUGUUGAUUUUUUGGUUUCUUAAUUCUUAGGUUUGAUUUGGUUACUGUCUACUAUUAAUUUGUUAGGAUUUUAAAUGAUUGCUCUUUUGAAUCUUAGGGGGGUUGAGGAAUUUUGGACAACAUGAUUUGGCAUUCUAUUGUUCAGGGAAUCUGCAACUAGAGCACCAGAAUUUGCAAUUUGCUGCUAUUGUUGUUCUUUCUUGUGGUGAUCUCUCCUCUGAUUGAAUUCUUCACGAUUAGUUUUCUUGAGUAUUU